UGGGUUGCUUGAAGGUUAUUGCACAAAAUGUUUCAGAAGACGAAAUCAAGGCCUUGAAACAAACGUUCAAAAGCAUGGAUACCGAUGGGAGUGGCUCAAUCACAUACGAUGAACUCAAAGCUGGAUUGACUAAGCUGGGCUCAAAGCUUACUAAAUCAGAAAUAAUAGCGCUUAUGGAUGCUAUUAUGGAUUGACUAGGCUGAGGAGGGAAAGAUUUUUACUUUGUUGCGCUUAUGGAUUAGGAGGGAAAGAUUUAUUCUGUAAAGGAAGUUAGGCCUCCACAAAUCCCUGAGGAUCCUAAUCCUCUUAUUAAGAGUGCAAAACUUCGAGCGCCAACUCAUAUUAUCUCUACAAAUUCCGGUGUCAAAGGUGAAAAGUCAUGAUACACUGGUAUCCUUAUGCCUUCCAUCGUUGAACAGGAGUAUGGAGUGGGUGAUGUUAUUUUCCUGUUGUGGUUCAAACGCAGCCUCCCCCAUUACUGCACAAAGUUUAUUGAGAUCUGCAUAAUGUUAUGUGCCGACCAUGGUCCCUGUGU